UACGUAGGGUGCGAGCGUUGCCCGGAUUUAUUGGGCGUAAAGGGCGCGUAGGCGGCCACGCACGUCCGUUGUGAAAUCGCCCGGCUCAACUGGGCGGGGUCAGCGGAUACGGUGUGGCUCGAGCAAGCUAGGGGGCAAUGGAAUUCCCGGUGUAGUGGUGGAAUGCGUAGAUAUCGGGAGGAACACCAGUGGCGAAGGCGGUUGCCUGGAUCGCAACUGACACUGAGGAACGAAAGCUAGGGGAGCAAACAGG
rnacentral:rRNA from 1 species